AAGGGUAUAGCUCAGUGGUAGAGCACAUACUUAGUAUGCACAAGGUCCUGGGUUCAAUCCCCAGUACCUCCA
rnacentral:tRNA from 1 species